GAUGAACGCUGGCGGCGUGCCUGAUACAUGCAAGUCGAGCGAACAGACGAGGAGCUUGCUCCUCUGACGUUAGCGGCGGACGGGUGAGUAACACGUGGAUAACCUACCUAUAAGACUGGGAUAACUUCGGGAAACCGGAGCUAAUACCGGAUAAUAUAUUGAACCGCAUGGUUCAAUAGUGAAAGACGGUUUUGCUGUCACUUAUAGAUGGAUCCGCGCCGCAUUAGCUAGUUGGUAAGGUAACGGCUUACCAAGGCAACGAUGCGUAGCCGACCUGAGAGGGUGAUCGGCCACACUGGAACUGAGACACGGUCCAGACUCCUACGGGAGGCAGCAGUAGGGAAUCUUCCGCAAUGGGCGAAAGCCUGACGGAGCAACGCCGCGUGAGUGAUGAAGGUCUUCGGAUCGUAAAACUCUGUUAUUAGGGAAGAACAAAUGUGUAAGUAACUAUGCACGUCUUGACGGUACCUAAUCAGAAAGCCACGGCUAACUACGUG
rnacentral:rRNA from 1 species